GGGAAUAUGGCUUAGUGGUAGAGUGCUUGCCUAGCAUGCAUGAAACCCUGGGUUCGAUUCCCUCAGUACCA
rnacentral:tRNA from 1 species